rnacentral:rRNA from 1 species
GACGAACGCUGGCGGCGUGCCUAAUACAUGCAAGUCGAACGCUUCUUUCCUCCCGAGUGCUUGCACUCAAUUGGAAAGAGGAGUGGCGGACGGGUGAGUAACACGUGGGUAACCUACCCAUCAGAGGGGGAUAACACUUGGAAACAGGUGCUAAUACCGCAUAACAGUUUAUGCCGCAUGGCAUAAGAGUGAAAGGCGCUUUCGGGUGUCGCUGAUGGAUGGACCCGCGGUGCAUUAGCUAGUUGGUGAGGUAACGGCUCACCAAGGCCACGAUGCAUAGCCGCCCGGAGGGGGUGUCCGGCCCCCCUGGACUUAGGCCCCGCCCCAGCCCCCGCCGGGAGGCGGCAGUGGGAAUUCUCCGGCAAGGGCCGAAGUUUUGCCCGAGCACCGCGGCGUGGUUGAAGAGGUUUUCCGGUCGUAAAACUCUGUUGUUAGAGAAGAACAAGGACGUUAGUAACUGAACGUCCCCUGACGGUAUCUAACCAGAAAGCCACGGCUAACUACGUG